rnacentral:hammerhead_ribozyme from 1 species
AUCCAGCUGACGAGUCCCAAAUAGGACGAAACACACGUCAAGCUGGAU